UACGGGGGGGGCAAGCGUUGUUCGGAAUUACUGGGCGUAAAGGGCUCGUAGGUGGCCAACUAAGUCAGACGUGAAAUCCCUCGGCUUAACCGGGGAACUGCGUCUGAUACUGGAUGGCUUGAGUUCGGGAGAGGGAUGCGGAAUUCCAGGUGUAGCGGUGAAAUGCGUAGAUAUCUGGAGGAACACCGGUGGCGAAGGCGGCCCCCUGGACCGGUACUGACGCUGAGGCGCGAAAGCGUGGGUAGCAAACGGG
rnacentral:rRNA from 1 species